GGGCCCGCACAAGCGGUGGAGUAUGUGGUUUAAUUCGAUGCAACGCGAAGAACCUUACCAGGGUUUGACAUCCUGCGAAUCUCUUGGAAACGAGAGAGUGCCUUCGGGAGCGCAGUGACAGGUGCUGCAUGGUUGUCGUCAGCUCGUGCCGUGAGGUGUCAGGUUAAGUCCUAUAACGAGCGCAACCCCUAUCGUUAGUUGCCAGCAUUUAGUUGGGCACUCUAGCGAGACCGCCGGUGAUAAACCGGAGGAAGGUGUGGAUGACGUCAAGUCAUCAUGCCCCUUACAUCCUGGGCUACACACGUACUACAAUGCUACGGACAAAGGGCAGCAAACUCGCGAGAGCUAGCAAAUCCCAUAAACCGUGGCUCAGUUCAGAUCGUAGGCUGCAACUCGCCUACGUGAAGGAGGAAUC
rnacentral:rRNA from 1 species